AUUGAACGCUGGCGGCAUGCCUUACACAUGCAAGUCGAACGCGAAAGCGGGGGCAACCCUGUGAGUAGAGUGGCGAACGGGUGAGUAAUGCAUCGGAACGUGUCCAGUAGCGGGGGAUAACCUCGAGAAAUCGAGGCUAAUACCGCAUACGUCCUACGGGAGAAAGCAGGGGAUCGCAAGACCUUGCACUAUUGGAGCGGCCGAUGUCGGAUUAGCUAGUUGGUGGGGUAAAGGCUUACCAAGGCGACGAUCCGUAGCUGGUCUGAGAGGACGACCAGCCACACUGGAACUGAGACACGGUCCAGACUCCUACGGGAGGCAGCAGUGGGGAAUUUUGGACAAUGGGGGCAACCCUGAUCCAGCCAUGCCGCGUGGGUGAAGAAGGCCUUCGGGUUGUAAAGCCCUUUCGGUGGGGACGAAACGGUGUCGGCUAAUACCCGGCACUACUGACGGUACCCACAGAAGAAGCACCGGCUAACUACGUGCCAGCAGCCGCGGUAAUACGUAGGGUGCGGGCGUUAAUCGGAAUUACUGGGCGUAAAGCGUGCGCAGGCGGUCUGCUAAGAGAGGUGUGAAAUCCCCGGGCUUAACCUGGGAACUGCGCUUCUAACUGGCAGGCUUGAGUGUGGCAGAGGGGGGUGGAAUUCCACGUGUAGCAGUGAAAUGCGUAGAGAUGUGGAGGAACACCGAUGGCGAAGGCAGCCCCCUGGGCUAACACUGACGCUCAUGCACGAAAGCGUGGGGAGCAAACAGGAUUAGAUACCCUGGUAGUCCACGCCCUAAACUAUGUCAACUGGUUGUCGGGGAAGCAAUUCCUUGGUAACGAAGCUAACGCGUGAAGUUGACCGCCUGGGGAGUACGGCCGCAAGGUUA
rnacentral:rRNA from 1 species